rnacentral:lncRNA from 1 species
CCGGACCACACUCGACUGUGAUAUAAACAAGAAACAAACCUUUCCGCAAACCUAUGAGAUGUGAGUGUGUUUUCUACUGCAGCAGAACCUACACUAUCCCAGUGCAGGAAGCGCUCAUUGCAAAUGGAGGUUAUCUUGUUGAUUUUUGGUUAAACUUCUCAUGUCACGUUUUCUGACAACACCUUCCAUUGUACCAUCUGUUUCUGAACAAUACCUGGGACAUUGCAAACUUGUUCUGCAAGAAUACCCUGGGUCUCAGUGUGUGUGACAAGGGAUGGAAGAAUUCACCAGUAAAACCACCUGGACCUGAAAUUUUUUCAUGGGAAAGUUUUUGAUGAUGUAUUCAAUCUCUACUCAAAUGUUCUAUUUCAUCUUGUGUCAAUUUUGAUACGUGGUCUUGCUAUGUUGCCCAGGCUGGUCUCAGACUCCUGGGCUCAAAGGAUCUGCCUGCCUCAGCCUCCGGAAGUGCUGGGAUUACAGGUGUGAGCCACUGUACUCCGCCACAGGAGCGUGUGGCCGGGGACUCGUGCAUGCCAGGGAAGAGCACUGGCUUCCGGAUCCUCUGACUUCACCAUGUGACUUGGCCAGCAAUGACCCUGGGUUAGAGAUAGGUGGAGCGGAGGCAGGCAGUGGUCAGAGACCCCAGACAUGGGGUCCUGGCACCACAACUGUGAUUUUCCAUCACUUUAGAGGCACCAACAGGGGUCCCUCUGGAAACGUGGAGCAGAAUCAUCCAGGAUCCCGAAGAGGACUUUGUCCUCCUGCCCAUUUCCAGUUCCUCUCCCAUCUCCUCUGGUUUCCAGAAGCAGCACAUCCCCGGCCCCACCCCUCAUCUGUAUACGGAUCCUCCUAAUGCAGACCCAGGUGAUGGAAAACCCGUCUACAACGAACCAAGGCUGUUCGUGCUUUCAAAUAUUAAAUUCUGUUCAGAAUAUUAAAUAAUUUCAUCUUCAGUGAUCCCAGUAAAUUUAAUUAGCUCUUGUUCUCCCAAUAGAGUUGUCUCUUGGUUGCUGAAAUGUUGCAUUCUCAAGGAAGGAGGCCC